rnacentral:tRNA from 1 species
GCCUCUUUGGCUCAGUUGGUUAGAGCGCUGGUCUCAUAGUAAUAUGACGCCCAUCUGUGGUGGCAAUCCAGAGGUCAACAGUUCGAACCUGUUAAGGGGCA